rnacentral:antisense_RNA from 1 species
UACGCUUUCAGCGUUCUCUGGCAGAGCGCGGAGCGGACGCAGUCGUCGGUGGUGAAACGCACCAGCCCUACCAUCUCAUCUUCUUCAAAACGCGCCAGCGCAUCGCUCAGGCCAGACUGUACGCCAGCGGGUAAGUCACACUGGGUAAUGUCGCCGUUUACGAUAACCGUCACGUUCUCCCCGAGGCGCGU